AAAACUGUUCCUGACUUUGCUGAAAAGAAAACAAAGGACGAUCAGUUAAUGAUUUUAUACCACAUAUUCCCCUCUCAGAUUCACACACUUAUUGUAUCGGUCAUUCAGUUUUCCUAAACUCUGUAAAAGAAAUCGGAAGGUUG